CCCCUAGUAACUGCGAGUGAAGCGGGAAAAGCUCAAAUUUGAAAUCUGGCGGUUAUGCCGUCCGAGUUGUAUUCUGGAGAAGCGUCUUCCGCGCCGGACCGUGUACAAGUCCCUUGGAACAGGGCGUCAUAGAGGGUGAGAAUCCCGUCUCUGACACGGACCCCCGGUGCUAUGCGAUGCGCUCUCGAAGAGUCGAGUUGUUUGGGAAUGCAGCUCAAAACGGGUGGUAAAUUCCAUCUAAAGCUAAAUAUUGGCGAGAGACCGAUAGCGAACAAGUACCGUGAGGGAAAGAUGAAAAGCACUUUGGAAAGAGAGUAAAACAGUACGUGAAAUUGUUGAAAGGGAAACGCUUGAAGUCAGUCGCGUCUGCCGGAACUCAGCCUUGCUUCUGCUUGGUGCACUUUCCGGUCCGACGGGCCAGCAUCGGUUUCGAGCGGCGGACACUGGCGUGGGGAAGGUGGCGGCUCCGGCCGUGUUACAGCCCCGCGUCGCGAACGCCGCCCGGGACCGAGGAAUCCGGCGCAAGCCUGGGAUGCUGGCGUAAUGGCUUUAAACGACCCGUCUUGAAACACGGACCAAGGAGUGCUACGUGCUCGCGAGUGUUUGGGUGGAAAACCCGGACGCGCAAUGAAAGUGAAAGUCGAUACCCCUCGCGGGGGCACCGACGCCCGAGCCUGAUGUUUUCGGAAGGCCUUGCGGUAGAGCGAGUGCGUUGCGACCCGAAAGAUGGUGAACUAUUCCUGAGGAGGGCGAAGCCAGAGGAAACUCUGGUGGAGGCUCGUAGCGGUUCUGACGUGCAAAUCGAUCGCAGGACUUGGG
rnacentral:rRNA from 1 species